rnacentral:miRNA from 1 species
UGCCACAGCUAUGACUGUACC